rnacentral:rRNA from 1 species
AUUGAACGCUAGCGGAAGGCCUAACACAUGCAAGUCGAACGAGUGGCGGACGGGUGAGUAAUGUCUGGGAACGUGCCUGAUGGAGGGGGAUAACUACUGGAAAGGGUAGCUAAUACCGCCUACCAUCGGAUGUGCCGAGAUGGGAUUAGCUAGUAGGUGGGGUAAAGGCUCACCUAGGCGACGAUCCCUAGCUGGUCUGAGAGGAUGACCAGCCACACUGGAACUGAGACACGGUCCAGACUCCUACGGGAGGCAGCAGUGGGGAAUAUUGGACAAUGGGCGCAAGCCUGAUCCAGCCAUGCCGCGUGUAUGAAGAAGGCCUUCGGGUUGUAAAGUACUUUCAGCAGGGAAGCGGUACCCGCAGAAGAAGCACCGGCUAACUCCGUGCCAGCAGCCGCGGUAAUAC